CAAUAGCGUAUAUUAAAGUUGUUGCAGUUAAAAAGCUCGUAGUUGGAUUUCUGGUUGAAGCGACCGGUCGGGCGUUGAUUCGUCUGCACUGGAGUCGGUUUUGGCCAUCCUCUAGGAAAGUGCGUCUGGUAUUAAGUUAUCGAGCGCAUGAUCCUGGUCUUUUACUGUGAAAAAAUUAGAGUGUUUAAAGCAGGCCUUCGCCUUGAAUACAUUAGCAUGGAAUAAUAAGAUAGGACUUUGGUCUAUUUUGUUGGUUUGCAGACCGAAGUAAUGAUUAAUAGGGAUAGUUGGGGGUAUUUAUGUUCCGAUGUCAGAGGUGAAAUUCUUAGAUUUUCGGAAGAUAAACUUAUGCGAAAGCAUUUACCAAGGAUGUUUUCAUUAG
rnacentral:rRNA from 1 species